rnacentral:lncRNA from 1 species
AUGAUUGACUUGACUUUAUUUUGUUCCACCAGCCCGCGGUGCCCGGCAGGGGGCGUCGUGUCCAGGUAUCCGCUCUGCUUCGCUUCCGCUCCCGGAGGACGAGACGGACAGCCUAAUGAUUCAUUGAUUAAGGCAACGAACCAAUCACCUCCCGUCACCCGGCUCCCCUCCCCCCAAUCAACACCGUCUCUCACCGGCUUCCCAAGGGCGCUGAGGAGGGGGUGCAGUCCUCUGAACCCCAGGACUACGACUCCUCUGAACCUCCGAAUCCUCCAACAAGUCGACGACCGCCGAAUCACCGGCAGCACUGCCGGCCUCUGACGUCACGGUGAUGCAGAUGCUCUGGAAACGAGGACGCACAUGUCUCCCCUCAAGUCCGCAUCUCCUCACUGUCGUUACUUCAAAGUUGACAACAUAUAUAUGCGCAGAAAGCAGCCUGCUCGGGGUGUGAUGGCGGCGGACCGCCACCAGGGGUGAGAUAAAAAUAUUAAAAAUACAUCGGAAGCACAAGCAGGUGUAGUUGUGCAGCCAGAGACGCAGAGAGAGAGAGAGAGAGAGAGAGAGAGAGAGAGAGAGAGAGAGAGAGAGAGAGAGAGAGAGAGAGAGAGAGAGAGAGAGAGAGAGAGAGAGAGAGAGAGAGAGAGAGAGAGAGAGAGGAGAGAGAGAGAGAGAGAGAGAGAGAGAGAGAGAGAGAGAGAGAGAGAGAGAGAGAGAGAGAGAGAGAGAGAGAGAGAGAGAGAGAGAGAGAGAGAGAGAGAGAGAGAGAGAGAGAGAGAGAGAGAGAGAGAGAGGAAUCGAUGGAGAGAUGAGGCAGAAGGAUGUUUAAUUCAGCAGCGAGUGUCGCUCCCUCCAUGUCUCCUGGACCACAGUCCUACUGACCACAACACGUCCCAGUUACCCGGAUACGGACCCGCGAUGUGGUCGUGAGGACACGACGCAGUGAGACCCUGCGUCCGAGGAGCCGUCAGCCGUCAGCGGGACCGAGGAGCAGAGACCAACAUGCAGGAGGAUAUCUGACGCUCGGAGCCUCCACGGUGGGCUCCUGUAUUCCUCCAUUCUUCUCCUCGCAUUUUGAUUUAAAUAUUCAUUCGGGAGGCUUCGUGGAUUACCGCCAUGGACGCGCGGAGCAGCGAGGAGCGAUCCCUCCGCUGACGGGCAGCGAUGCGUCUGGAGCUCCAGAGGUGAUCACCGCCGCCACCACAGCGCCUUCCGCCCGCCGUGCCGCUGCCCAUGGGGUUAAAACCCGUCGCUACAGCGGGCCUGUGGCUGAUCUCUCGAUAAGAAACGGAGAAGGGUGUUGUCAGAGAGCGAGGAAGAGCGAGGGAGAGAGAGGGGGGACGAGAGGAGGAGGAGGAGGAGGAGGAGGGUGCACUACGAGGUGUUCUGUUUUUUUGGAGCGCGGGAGACAGACGGCCACGGAGAAGGUGUACUGACGUGAGGGGAGAAUGAGCGCGAGGAGGAGCCGCCAGAGGACCCCCCGUCGCGAGUGGACGCCGUGAGAAGAUCAGGAGGCUGGAUGGACGUCAGA